rnacentral:rRNA from 1 species
UACGAACCGUCCAAACGUUAUUCGGAAUUACUGGGCUUAAAGAGUUCGUAGGCGGUUGGAAAAGUUGGGUGUGAAAGCCCUCGGCUCAACCGAGGAAUUGCGCUCAAAACUGUUCGACUAGAGGGAGAUAGAGGUGAGCAGAACUGAUGGUGGAGCGGUGAAAUGCGUUGAUAUCAUCAGGAAUACCGGAGGCGAAGGCGGCUCACUGGGUCUCUUCUGACGCUGAGGAACGAAAGCUAGGGGAGCAAACGGG